rnacentral:rRNA from 1 species
GAUGAACGCUGGCGGCGUGCCUAACACAUGCAAGUCGAGCGGACGGACGAGAAGCUUGUUGCGCUGAUGUUAGCGGCGCGCGGGAGAGUAACACGUGGAUAACCUACCUAUAAGACUGGGAUAACUUCGGGAAACCGGACCUAGUACCGGAUGAUAGUUUGAGCCGCAUGGUUCAAAAGUGAAAGACGGUCUUGCUGGUACUUCUAUAUCUUACCGCGCUGCAUUAGCUAGUUGGUAAGGUAACGACUUACCAAGGCGACGAUGCAUAGCCGACCUGGGAGAGUGAUAGGCCACACUGGAACUGAGACACGGUCCAGACUCCUACGGGAGGCAGCAGUAGGGAAUUUUCCGCAAUGGGCGAAAGCCUGACGGAGCAACGCCGCGUGAGUGAUGAAGGUCUUCGGAUCGUAAAACUCUGUUAUUAGGGAAGAACAUAUGUGUAAGUAACUGUGCACAUCUUGACGGUACCUAAUCAGAAAGCCACGGCUAACUACGUG